rnacentral:rRNA from 1 species
UACGUAGGGUGCAAGCGUUAAUCGGAAUUACUGGGCGUAAAGCGUACGCAGGCGGCUAUGUAAGACAGGUGUGAAAUCCCCGGGCCUAACCUGGGAACUGCAUUUGUGACUGCAUAGCUAGAGUCCGUCAGAGGGGGGUGGAAUUCCACGUGUAGCAGUGAAAUGCGUAGAGAUGUGGAGGAACACCCGAUGGCGAAGGCAGCCCCCUGGGGAUGAGACUGGACGCUCAUGUACGGAAAGCGUGGG